rnacentral:rRNA from 1 species
AUUGAACGCUGGCGGCACGCCUUACACAUGCAAGUCGAACGGUAACGGGCCUUCGGGUGCCGACGAGUGGCGAACGGGUGAGUAAUGUAUCGGAACGUACCUUUCAGUGGGGGAUAACGUAGCGAAAGUUACGCUAAUACCGCAUAUUCUGUGAGCAGGAAAGCAGGGGAUCGCAAGACCUUGCGCUGAUUGAGCGGCCGAUAUCAGGAUUAGCUAGUUGGUGAGGUAAAGGCUCACCAAGGCGACGAUCUGUAGCGGGUCUGCGAGGAGGAUCCGCCACACAGGAGCUGAGACACGGGCCAGACUCCUACGGGAGGAAGCAGUGGGGAAUUUUGGACAAUGGGGGCAACCCUGAUCCAGCCAUGCCGCGUGAAUGAAGAAGGCCUUCGGGUUGUAAAGCUCUUUCGGCCGGGAAGGAAUCGUAUCAGCUAAUACCUGGUGCGGAUGACGGUACCGGCAUAAGAAGCACCGGCUAACUACGUGCCAGCCGCCGCGGUAAAAC